CCUACGGGGGGCAGCAGUGGGGAAUAUUGCACAAUGGGGGAAACCCUGAUGCAGCGACGCCGCGUGAGUGAUGAAGUUUUUCGGUAUUUAAAGCUCUAUCAGCAGGGAAGAUAAUUACGGUACCUGACUAAGAAGCUCCGGCUAAAUACGUGCCAGCAGCCGCGGUAAUACGUAUGGAGCAAGCGUUAUCCGGAUUUACUGGGUGUAAAGGGGGCGCAUACGGCAGGGCAAGUCUGAUGUGAAAGUCCGGGGCUCAAACCCGGGACUGCAUUGGAAACUGUCCGGCUAGAGUGCAGGAGAGGUAAGUGGAAUUCGUAGUGUAGCGGUGAAAUGCGUAGAUAUUAGGAGGAACACCAGUGGCGAAGGCAGCUUACUGGACUGUAACUGACGUUGAGGCUCGAAAGCGUGGGGAGCAAACAGGAUUAGAUACCCGUGUAGUC
rnacentral:rRNA from 1 species